GUGGGGAAUAUUGGACAAUGGGCGAAAGCCUGAUCCAGCCAUGCCGCGUGUGUGAAGAAGGUCUUCGGAUUGUAAAGCACUUUAAGUUGGGAGGAAGGGCAGUAAGUUAAUACCUUGCUGUUUUGACGUUACCGACAGAAUAAGCACCGGCUAACUUCGUGCCAGCAGCCGCGGUAAUACGAAGGGUGCAAGCGUUAAUCGGAAUUACUGGGCGUAAAGCGCGCGUAGGUGGUUCGUUAAGUUGGAUGUGAAAGCCCCGGGCUCAACCUGGGAACUGCAUCCAAAACUGGCGAGCUAGAGUACGGUAGAGGGUGGUGGAAUUUCCUGUGUAGCGGUGAAAUGCGUAGAUAUAGGAAGGAACACCAGUGGCGAAGGCGACCACCUGGACUGAUACUGACACUGAGGUGCGAAAGCGUGGGGAGCAAACAGGAUUAGAUACCCUAGUAGUCC
rnacentral:rRNA from 1 species